GACGGAGGAUGCAAGUGUUAUCCGGAAUCACUGGGCGUAAAGCGUCUGUGAGGUGGUUAAAAAGUCUGCUGUUAAAAAUUGAAGCUUAACUUCAAAGGUGCCGUAGAAACUUUUAAACUAGAGUAUGAUAGGGGUAGAGGGAAUUUCCAGUGGAGCGGUGAAAUGUGUAGAUAUUGGAAAGACCACCAAUGGCGAAGGCACUCUACUGGGCCAUUACUGACACUGAGAGACGAAAGCUAGGGGAGCAAAUGGG
rnacentral:rRNA from 1 species